GGGGGAUAACCACUGGAAACGGUGGCUAAUACCGCAUAACGUCGCAAGACCAAAGAGGGGGACCUUCGGGCCUCUCACUAUCGGAUGAACCCAGAUGGGAUUAGCUAGUAGGCGGGGUAACGGCCCACCUAGGCGACGAUCCCUAGCUGGUCUGAGAGGAUGACCAGCCACACUGGAACUGAGACACGGUCCAGACUCCUACGGGAGGCAGCAGUGGGGAAUAUUGCACAAUGGGCGCAAGCCUGAUGCAGCCAUGCCGCGUGUAUGAAGAAGGCCUUCGGGUUGUAAAGUACUUUCAGCGGGGAGGAAGGCAUUGUGGUUAAUAACCGCAGUGAUUGACGUUACCCGCAGAAGAAGCACCGGCUAACUCCGUGCCAGCAGCCGCGGUAAUACGGAGGGUGCAAGCGUUAAUCGGAAUUACUGGGCGUAAAGCGCACGCAGGCGGUCUGUUAAGUCAGAUGUGAAAUCCCCGGGCUUAACCUGGGAACUGCAUUUGAAACUGGCAGGCUUGAGUCUCGUAGAGGGGGGUAGAAUUCCAGGUGUAGCGGUGAAAUGCGUAGAGAUCUGGAGGAAUACCGGUGGCGAAGGCGGCCCCCUGGACGAAGACUGACGCUCAGGUGCGAAAGCGUGGGGAGCAAACAGG
rnacentral:rRNA from 1 species